rnacentral:rRNA from 1 species
ACGCACGCUGGCGGCGUGCUUAACCCAUGCAAGUCGAACGGAAAGGCCCUGCUUUUGUGGGGUGCUCGCGUGGCGAACGGGUGAGUAACACGUGAGUAACCUGCCCUUGACUUUGGGAUAACUUCCGGAAACUGGGGCUAAUACCGGAUAUGAGCUCCUGCUGCCUGGUGGGGGUUGGAAAGUUUCGGCGGUUGGGGAUGGACUCGCGGCUUAUCAGCUUGUUGGUGGGGUAGUGGCUUACCAAGGCUUUGACGGGUAGCCGGCCUGAGAGGGUGACCGGCGACAUUGGGACUGAGAUACGGCCCAGACUCCUACGGGAGGCAGCAGUGGGGAAUAUUGCACAAUGGGCGGAAGCCUGAUGCAGCAACGCCGCGUGCGGGAUGACGGCCUUCGGGUUGUAAACCGCUUUCGCCUGUGACGAAGCGUGAGUGACGGUAAUGGGUAAAGAAGCACCGGCUAACUACGUG